rnacentral:rRNA from 1 species
UUAGCGGCGGACGGGUGAGUAACACGUGGGCAACCUGCCUAUAAGACUGGGAUAACUUCGGGAAACCGGAGCUAAUACCGGAUACGUUCUUUUCUCGCAUGAGAGAAGAUGGAAAGACGGUUUACGCUGUCACUUAUAGAUGGGCCCGCGGCGCAUUAGCUAGUUGGUGAGGUAAUGGCUCACCAAGGCGACGAUGCGUAGCCGACCUGAGAGGGUGAUCGGCCACACUGGGACUGAGACACGGCCCAGACUCCUACGGGAGGCAGCAGUAGGGAAUCUUCCGCAAUGGACGAAAGUCUGACGGAGCAACGCCGCGUGAACGAAGAAGGCCUUCGGGUCGUAAAGUUCUGUUGUUAGGGAAGAACAAGUACCAGAGUAACUGCUGGUACCUUGACGGUACCUAACCAGAAAGCCACGGCUAACUACGUGCCAGCAGCCGCGGUAAUACGUAGGU